UACAGAGGUCUCAAGCGUUGUUCGGAUUCAUUGGGCGUAAAGGGUGCGUAGGCGGCGCGGUAAGUCGGGUGUGAAAUCUUGGAGCUUAACUCCGAAACUGCAUUCGAUACUGCCGUGCUUGAGGACUGGAGAGGAGACUGGAAUUUACGGUGUAGCGGUGAAAUGCGUAGAUAAUCGUAAGGAAGACCAGUGGCGGAAGGCGGGUCUCUGGACAGUUCCUGACGCUGAGGCACGAAGGCCAGGGGAGCAAACGGG
rnacentral:rRNA from 1 species